rnacentral:lncRNA from 1 species
AGCCCCAGGACAAAAUGACAAUCUGAGACUUUCGCAUAUGGAUGCUGGAUCAAGCUUAUACGCAUUGAACAUAUAACGCAAGAUGAAGGCAAAUGUCUAAUUUCUCCCGAAGAAAAUGGUAAGGAAUGAUAAGAAUUGCCCUCCCAUUUAAUUCAUUCUAACAUAAAGGAACAGAGGAACUUUUGCAUCAAAUAUGUGAAUAUUAGAAAAUAUAUUUGUAGAACAUAAUUGAAAAGAACAACACCAAUGUUAAUUAGGUUGAGCACAUGCAGUCUACUGUGUAUAAUACUGACUUCUUGGUCAAAAUAUGCUACUGUCUUCUAAAUACAUGUGCAUAUCUGACAACUGACAUCAGAUAGUGCUAGCACACAAGCAAUAUGUGGUACUUUAAAUCAGCAAAGAAAUGUCUCCAAUUAUGCAUGGAGCAAAACGUGUCUCAAGAUAACCCAGUUUAAGCUAAUAUGACCAAAAAUAUGAACAGAGCAAGUUCGGCGGUCAUCUUAAUUGUUGUAUAAUAGGUAAAACUCCAAGUAGUUCCUUAUUUCAAUUUAAACCUCUAUUCCAUCAAUUGCAGAAAGCAGAACUAAAUUGGAGGGACCAUAUUGAUAUUUAGCAGUGUGAUAAAGUGACAUACCAGCUCCGAGGAAACCCUUGUAUAUGGAGAACUGUCAGCAUGAGG